ACGAACGCUGGCGGCGCUUAACACAUGCAAGUCGAACGGAAAGGCCCUGCUUUUGUGGGGUGCUCGAGUGGCGAACGGGUGAGUAACACGUGAGUAACCUGCCCUUGACUUUGGGAUAACUUCAGGAAACUGGGGCUAAUACCGGAUAGGAGCUCCUGCUGCAUGGUGGGGGUUGGAAAGUUUCGGCGGUUGGGGAUGGACUCGCGGCUUAUCAGCUUGUUGGUGGGGUAGUGGCUUACCAAGGCUUUGACGGGUAGCCGGCCUGAGAGGGUGACCGGCCACAUUGGGACUGAGAUACGGCCCAGACUCCUACGGGAGGCAGCAGUGGGGAAUAUUGCACAAUGGGCGGAAGCCUGAUGCAGCAACGCCGCGUGCGGGAUGACGGCCUUCGGGUUGUAAACCGCUUUCGCCUGUGACGAAGCGUGAGUGACGGUAAUGGGUAAAGAAGCACCGGCUAACUACGUG
rnacentral:rRNA from 1 species